AUGGCCUUCAUGGCGGCGCUGGAGGCCGAUCUGCGCGCUCUCUCCGCCGAGGCGCGCCGCCGCCACCCCGCCGUCAAGGACGCCGCCGAGCACGCAACACUCAAGCUCCGUUCUCUAUCUAAUCCAAGGGAAAUAGCUCAAAAGGGGGAUAUAUUACGGAUCUUUCUGAUGGCAUGCAGUGUCAAAUCAGUGAAGCUGAGUGUGAUAGGACUAUCCUGUUUGCAAAAGCUUAUAUCACAUGAUGCUGUAGCAUCAUCUGCGUUGAAGGAGAUAUUAGCUACUUUGAGGGAUCACUCAGAGAUGCCAGAUGAGAGUCUUCAGCUGAAGACAUUGCAAACAAUGUUGAUUGUCUUUCAGUCACAUUUACGUCCUGAAAGUGAGGAGGACAUGUCUCAAGCCCUUGGCAUAUGUCUUCACCUACUUGAAAGCAGUCGAUCUUCUGACAGUGUCCGCAACACGGCAGCAGCUACAUUUAGACAAGCAGUGGCAUUGGUCUUUGAUAAUGUUGUUCUUGCCGAAUCACUUCCGACUGGUAAAGCAUCCCCAGCAAGACUCGGCUCGAGUGCUAGCUCUGUUGCCAACAAUGUUACUCGUAGCUUCGGCCAGACGCUAUCACUAGCAUUUAGCUAUGGAGAACUCACCAUGAGGGAAGAUCUUACUGACGUUGGAAAACUCGGUCUCCGUCUGCUCGAAGACCUGACUGCUCUUGCUGCAGGUGGAUCUGCUAGGUGGUUGCAUGCUCAGUCACUGCAUCGGACGUUUGCCCUUGACAUACUUGAGUUUGUGCUAUCGACAUAUGUUCCUGUAUUCCGGGCAUUAUUAUCUUACCAGCAGGUAUUGCGCCAUCAAAUAUGCUCACUUCUUAUGACUUCACUCCGCACGAAUGUGGAGCUUGAAGGUGAAGCAGGGGAACCUGCUUUUCGCCGUUUAGUCCUACGUUUGGUUGCUCAUGUUAUCAGACUCUACAGCUCUUCACUUGUCACUGAAAGUGAGGUAUUUCUGAACAUGCUUGUGAAAGUUACCCGCCUGGAUUUACCUUUAUGGCAUCAGAUACUUGUUCUCGAAAUUUUGAGGGGUUUUUGUGUAGAAGCUCGCACUCUGCGCUCCCUAUUUCAGACGUUUGACAUAAACCCUACAAAUACUAAUGUUGUGGAGAACAUCGUUAAAGCACUUGCUUUGGUGGUAGCUACUAUUCAGGCUUCAGAUUCAAGUGAAGAGACUCUUGCAGCUGUUGCUGGAAUGUUCAGUAGUAAAGCUAAAGGGAUUGAGUGGAGCAUGGAUACCGAUGCAUCAAAUGCUGCUGUUUUGGUUGCUAGCGAAGCACAUACCAUCACUCUUGCCCUUGAAGGCCUCUUAGGUGUAGUUUUCACCAUUGCUACUUUGACAGACGAGGCUCUAGAUGCUGGUGAGCUUGAAUCACCAAGAUGUGAAGUGGAUCGUCUGGUAUGUAGUGGACAAUCAGCUCUUCUUUGUGUCGCCAUGGUCAAUUCAACAUGGUUAACCAUCCUGGACUCCCUUUCACUUAUUUUAAUGAGGUCACAGGGAGAAGCUAUAAUAUUAGAAAUACUGAAAGGAUACCAGGCAUUUACUCAGGCCUGUGGAGUGCUCCGUGCUAUAGAGCCAUUAAACUCUUUUCUAGCAUCGCUUUGCAAGUUUACAAUCAAUAACCCAAAUGAAGGAGAGAAGAGAAGUAUCUUGCUCUCUCCUGGAUCGAAGAAGCCAGAAACUUCAAUGGAUCAGCGUGAUAGUAUUAUUUUGACACCGAAAAAUGUGCAGGCAUUGCGGACACUUUUUAAUGUGGCACAUCGAUUACACAAUAUCCUGGGCCCCUCCUGGGUUUUGGUCCUGGAGACUCUUGCAGCACUUGAUAGAACUAUUCAUUCUCCGCAUGCUUCAACCCAGGAAGUAUCGGCUUCUGUUUCAAGACUCUCAAGGGAUACAUCUGGACAGUACAGUGACUUCCAUAUUCUCUCUUCUUUAAAUUCUCAGUUGUUUGAAAGUUCAGCCUUGAUGAAUGUAGCUGCAGUUAAGUCACUUUUGUCUGCAUUGCAUCAAUUGUCAAGUCAGCACAUAUCAGGAAAUUCUCAAUUAUCAGGCCAGCAGAUUGGGAGCAUUGCAUUUUCAGUGGAGCGCAUGACAUCGAUACUUGUCAAUAAUCUGCAUCGAGUUGAAUCAAUAUGGGAUCAAAUUGCUGCGCACCAUCUUGAGCUUGCCAAUUGCCCCAACCCACAAUUACGUAAUAUGGCGCUUGAUUCAUUAGAUCAUUCAAUUUGCUCUGUAGUGGGUUCUGAAAAGUUUCAGGGAAUCAGUUCAGCACCUCAUCCUUUGAAAGAGUACCAAUUGGUUGAAGAAAGUGAAACACGAUCAUUUGAGUAUGCAGUUUUAUCUCCAUUGGUGAUCCUUUAUUCGUCUAACAAGAAUAUUGAUGUUCAAAUGGGUGCACUGAAAAUUCUUUUGCAUGUUCUUGAGAGACAUGGAGAAAAGCUGUCCUAUAGCUGGCCCAGCAUUCUUCAUAUGUUGAGGGCUGUUGCCGAUGCAUCUGAAAAAGAUGUCAUCUCCUUAGGUUUCCAGAGUGUACGUGUGAUCAUGAAUGAAGGACUGGCGACAAUACCUGUACAAUGUCUUGAUGAGUGCAUUUUGGUUACUGGGGCGUAUGGUGCCCAGAAAACUGACAUAAACAUAAGUUUGACAGCAGCUGGUCUUUUGUGGACUGCGACCGAUUUUAUUGUGAAGGGGUUAAGUGGCAGGUCUGUUCAGAAAGCUAAUCACUUGAAUGAAGAGGUUCAGUUGGGUGUAUCAACGGAAGAGGGAGAUAUACCAACCAGUGAGGAAGGCGUCAAGCGAAAUCCCUUGCAACAACUGGUUGAUUACAAUAAGCUGUUCUUUUCAGUUUUUUCCGUCCUUCAAAAAUUGGGUGCAGAUGACCGUCCGGAGGUUCGGAAUUCAGCAGUUCGGACUCUGUUUCAAACUCUCUGCACCCAUGGUCAAAAACUUUCUCUAAGUAUGUGGGAGGAUUGCCUGUGGAUAUAUGUUUUCCCAAUGCUAGAACAUGUUUCCCACUUGGCAUCUACCUCGUCUAAAGAUGAAUGGCAUGGGAAGGAAUUAGGAACUCGUGCAGGGAAAGCUGUUCAUAUGCUUAUCCAUCACAGUCGAAAUACAGCGCAAAAACAAUGGGAUGAAACUAUUGUUCUUUUAUUAGGUGGUAUAGCACGGCUUUUACGAUCAUUUUUCCCCCUCCUCCAGCAAUUGAGCAAAUUUUCUUCCGGUUGGGCAAUUUUGCUUGCGUUUCUAAAAAAUAGCAUCUUAAAUGGUAGCAAGGAGGUAGCUCUUGCAGCUAUUAAUUGUUUGCAGACAUUUGUUAGUUCAAACUGUCCGAAGGGCAAUCUAGAAUCCUCCUUUGUCAAAUCCGUUCUUGAUAUUUACGAACUUGUUCUUCAAACUUCACCAAACUAUAAGAGUGACUCGGCUGAUAAGGUGAAGCAAGAGGUCCUUCGUGGUCUUGGAGAUCUUUACGUUCAAGCGCAAUCUCUAUUUAAUGAUGACAUGUAUCUAAGGCUCAUGGCUGUUAUGCAUCUAAUGAUUAAGAGUUCCAUGAAUUCUUCAGAUUAUGACAGUGAAUUGGGUAGCAUCCCUGCUGUGCAGCGUGGUAUCUUAGAAAUUAUUCCUAUGCUACGCCCAACAACCAUGUUAUCAUCAAUGUGGUCGCCUCUCCUGCUUGAGCUGCUAUGCUAUCUUAACGGAGAAGAAAGCCCCCUGCACAGGAAUAGUAAAGAAAUACGUGAACAGAAUUCUGAUGCACUGGCCAAUGGCACAAAGCGUGCUUCUGUUGAACAAGGCCAUAUCAAUGGCACUGGCACAAAAGGGGAUACUGUGGUGGGCUGUGGCUGGGGCAUUCUAUUUAUAGAAAAGCUUGUGCCAAUCAUGGUCAACCUUUUCCUGGAGGCUCCACCAAAUGAAAGGUGUAGUGCCUCACCACAGGUUAUUCAAGGUCUUGGAAGGUGCAUGAACACAAGGAGAGACAAUCCCAGGGGUACCCUUUGGAGAGUUUCUGCUGAAUGCUUCAAUCGUGUUGUGACAGAUGAGGUGAGGCAGGAAAAUGCUGAAUGUGGAAGUGACAUGAAUUCAUAUAGACUUUCUAGAGCUCGCUUCUGGAAGGAGGUUGCAGAUGUAUACGAAACCUUUCUUGUUGGAUCUUGUGGGCGUGUGUUGUCUUCAGAUGUUCCUUCAGCUGACUCUGCUACAGCUGAUGAGAGCCUUGAGAUGACUGUCCUCACUGUUUUUGGAGACAGUGUUCUGAAAUUGCAGAAGGAGGCUCCUGUUGAGGUAUUGCAAAGGCUUGUGAACUGUCUUGAUCGUUGUGCAUCACGAACAGGAUCCCUACCUAUUCAAACUGUCGGUCUUCUACCAUUGCACUGCAGCAGAUUUUCUCUGGGCUGUUUGCAGAUGAUGUUUUCUUUAUGCAGUUGUAUAUUGAAGACAAGCUCAUACCCUGCAGUAUCAGAAACCAGCAAAGUUUCUAUUUCCAUUCUUACAAAGCGAUGUGAGGUUAUACUGGGUCAGUUUUUAGCUGAUGAAAAUGACCUAGGAGACCGUCCAUUGCCCAGUGUGAGGAUUGAAGAAACGGUUUGUGUCCUUCAAGAGCUUGCUAGGCUAAUAUUAGAUAUUGAAACAGCUAAUGCUCUCAACAUACCACUGUACCUGAAAGAUGCUUUACGGGAAAACCAGUCCCAUGGGAGGGCCCAUUUGUUGUCGUUGCUUCCCACUUUCUCUGAGCUUGUCGUCUCAAGAGAACCCAGGGUUCGGGAGCUUGUUCAGGUCCUUCUCAGACUCAUCUCCUCAGAGCUAGGACUGCAACGCCUGACGUAA
rnacentral:rRNA from 1 species